rnacentral:rRNA from 1 species
UACGGGGGGGCAAGCGUUGUUCGGAAUUACUGGGCGUAAAGGGCGCGUAGGCGGCCUCUGCAAGUCGACUGUGAAAUCUCCGGGCUUAACCCGGAAAGGUCAGCCGAUACUGCAGGGCUAGAGUGCAGAAGGGGCAACUGGAAUUCUCGGUGUAGCGGUGAAAUGCGUAGAUAUCGAGAGGAACACCUGCGGCGAAGGCGGGUUGCUGGGCUGACACUGACGCUGACAGCGCGAAAGCUAGGGGAGCGAAGCGG